UGUUCGCGAAAGCCUGAAGGAUCUGAGGACUAACGUCGAAGAUCUUGACACUGUCGAUGAUUGUGUUUGUUUUUAAGAAAUUUGCUACGGUUGCUGGAGGUGGGAGAUUGUCUCCGAGGGUGCCGUAGUUGACGCCGAUGGAGGUGACGGUGGCGACGAGGUGGAAAAGGAGGAGGAGGAGGAGGAGAGGGGAAGGUGAAAGGGUGGAGGUGGCCAUUGGUUUUCGUGACAUUGUGUUAGAAAGG
rnacentral:lncRNA from 1 species